rnacentral:rRNA from 1 species
UCCGGAGAGGGAGCCUGAGAAACGGCUAGCACAUCUAAGGAAGGCAGCAGGCGCGUAAAUUACCCAAUCCUAAUUCAGGGAGGUAGUGACAAGAAAUAACAACUCGGAGUCUUUGACUUGCGAGAUUGCAAUGAGCACAAUUUAAAUCUCUUAGCAAGGAACAAUUGGAGGGCAAGUCUGGUGCCAGCAGCCGCGGUAAUUCCAGCUCCAAUAGCGUAUAUUAAAGUUGUUGCAGUUAAAAGCUCGUAGUUGAACUUCUGGGUGUCGAUGCAGUGGCUUCGGUCGUUGUAGCGGCAUUCAUCCGUCUGAGAACUAUAUACGGCCUUCAGUGGUCGGUGUAGGGAUCAGGCAUUUUACUUUGAAAAAAUUAGAGUGUUCCAGGCAGGCAAUCGCCUUGAAUACACAAGCAUGGAAUAAUGGAAUAGGACUAUGGUUCAUUUUGUUGGUUAUUGGACCUUAGUAAUGAUUAAUAGGGACAGUUGGGGGCAUUAGUAUUUAAUUGUCAGAGGUGAAAUUCUUGGAUUUAUUAAAGACUAACUUAUGCGAAAGCAUUUGCCAAGGAUGUUUUCAUUAAUCAAGAACGAAAGUUAGGGGAUCAAAGACGAUCAGAUACCGUCCUAGUCUUAACCAUAAACUAUUCCGACUAGGGAUUGGUUGGGUUUUUCAGCUCAAUCAGCACCUUAUGAGAAAUCAAAGUCUUUGGUUUCCGGGGGGAGUAUGGUCGCAAGGCUGAAACUUAAAGGAAUUGACGGAAGGGCACCACCAGGAGUGGAGCCUGCGGCUUAAUUUGACCCAACACGGGGAAACUCACCAGCGCAAAACAUGGGUGGGAUUGACAGAUUGAGAGCUCUUUCUUGAUUCUAUGGGUGGUGGUGCAUGGCCGUUCUUAGUUGGUGGAGUGAUUUGUCUGGUUAAUUCCGUUAACGAACGAGACCUUAACCUGCUAACUAGUCUCCUUAUGUUAAAUGGGGAGGACUUCUUAGAGGGACUAUGUGAGCAAACACAUUGAAGUUUGAGGCAAUAACAGGUCUGUGAUGCCCUUAGAUGUGCUGGGCCGCACGCGCGCUACACUGAUACGUUCAGCAAGUUCUAUCCUGGUCCGGAAGGAUUUCGGGUAAUCUUCGCAACGCGUAUCGUGCUGGGGAUCGAUCUUUGCAAUUAUAGAUCUUGAACGAGGAAUUCCUAGCAAGUGCAAGUCAUCAGCUUGUACUGAUUACGUCCCUGCCCUUUGUACACACCGCCCGUCGCUCCUACCGAUUCGAGUGAUCCGGUGAACCUUCUGGACCGCUGUAGUCAUCAAGGCUACGGUGGAAAGUUAAGUAAACCAUAUCACUUAGAGGAAGGAGAAGUCGUAACAAGGUU